UCCCCGCGCCCGCCCGCAACCCGCCGCCCGCCCGACGGCCCGGCUCUGCAAGUCCUGGCCCGCGACGCCCGCUGGGAAUGCACGUGAACUUGGAGAAAGUCGCGGGGCGCGCCGGCCCGGCUCUCCGCGGCAGGGCGUGGGCGCCCCCGGGCCGGCGUGCUUUCGUUUUCGUCUGGGACAAAGGUCCCUUGCGGCGCGCGCGGACGCGGUGACCGGGUCCUGCGGGCCACUCUCCGGAGCGCGGUCCGGUCGCUAAGCGCGGGGAAGCCGGAGCCCGAAGGGCAGGAGCAGCGCGGGGCUGAGGAAGUGGGGCCUGGGCCGUGCGCUUCGCCGGCGGCGGUCCAGAGCCGUCACACCCUGAGAAGAGUUGCGCAAACUGGCACUGCUCUGCCGUCCGCCGCUUCGACACGGGAAGAGGAGAAGCGUUUGGAACCCAGGACUUAGGACCGCUGGCCGAGGGCCUGUGCAGCUCCGGGCACGCGAGCGCGGCGGCGGCCAGGCGCGGUCCUCCCGCAAGGACAGGGCUGUCGACCUGUGCGCGCCCCAGGUCACCAUCGGGUUCACGGCGACUCCGACUCCCGAGGACGAAUGUGGCCCCAUCCCAGAGUGUCACCGGAGACAUCAGGAGCCCAUUGUGGGUGUGGGAAGACCCUCUGGGACCUCGCGGCCCAGGUCUUCCGCUCUUAGCCACCGCCUCGGGUGACGCCUGAAGCUCAAGGGACUGUGUCCACCCUCAGGUCCUGCCCGUGGCUCCGGAGCGGCAGUCCCCGUCAGAGGCUGGGGCUGAGUCCGCAGGUGUGUGAGUAGUAUCCUCCCCUGGCCCAGUGGCCCCUCGAGCACCCCGCUGCCGGCCACGGCUCGGCCACUCUGGGCCUUGGCCUCCCGGUCUGUGCAGUGGGGUUGGUGGUGAUCACAGGCUCCUGCUCUGCACAGGCCGGGAGGGACUGGCACGUGGCUGCACCUCCGGCCCGGGAGCCCAGGAGCAGCCUCGCUGUGUUUGCCGGACCUUUGGGUUCUGAAUAAGAUCUGGUGAAGAGACAUAGAGACCAGUGCUGGGCGGGGGCGGGAAGGCAUCCCUGUGGCACCCUGGGGCCCCCCGUCUGUUGGAUCUGGGGGUGCUGCCUGCCAGGCUCCACUCUGCCCGGCGAGUGUCAGGGGCAGCGGGGUGCGUGCCCUUGUCCAGAGGAGGCUGGAGAAGGGGACACGGGUGGGGAGUAGACGGAGGGUCUCCAGACAGAUGAGCGGGAUGGAACUCGGGGCGUGUUUGGGAAGCGGCCGGUGCUGAGCGCGGCUGGAGCAGGGCUCCGGGAGAGGCCAAGUGGGCCCGACCCUUGUUGUCAGGGUCCGGAAAGUUCCAGGCUAUGGGGUGGGUGCUGGGGAAGGAGGUCGGGGAACAGCCUCCAAGCCCCGGAGCGGCCCCCCAGUGUCCCUGUAGCAGCCACUUCCUGGCACAGCAGUCCCUGGAGUCCAGGCCCUCAUGCCACCCGUCCGUGCACUGCUCCAAUCUCGGGCACGUGAGGAGCCGCUCUCCGCAGGUCUGGGGGCAAAGGAAGGUUUUGAAUUGGGAGCUCAGGCUCAGUAGGCCCCUGCCGCCUCUCCCAGAGCUUGUGCCUCAGGUUAGGCCGCCUGGGCUGCAAGGUGGGAGGGCAUCGGUGCCCCAGGCAGGCCCCAGCCCCCCCAGGGCCACCUCCAGAGCCUUAGACAGGACAACAAGGCCUCUGGUGGCCCCGGCUGCUGGGAGCCUGGGCAGAAGAAGGUUCCAGAAAGGGGCCACCUGCCUGUCUCUGGGCCCAUGCGCAGGGCAGGCGUGGUGCCUCUUUCCCGGUGGCCGUGUCCCCUCCUCCUCCCGGCCCCACCCCCUCUCCCGCCCGCGGCCUGGCGGUCUUUGUCUUCCAAGCGCUCUGCAAAAUGGCCGCCUGACCCGCCGCCAUUUCGUAGCUGAGGUGGCAGCGGCCUUGGCGAGGCCCGUGAGGGAGGGCGGCCAUGGCCCGCCUGCCUGCCCUGAGCGGCCUGGACAGAGCCCAGCACCGGCCCCCGCCCAGCCUGGCCUUGGCCGUGGCCGCCCCGGGCUUGGCACCAGCCCGCCCUUGGCAAGGCGGCCCGAGAGUCCUGGUCCCUCACCCGGCCCUGCCGACCCUGAGGCGGCCUUGCUGAGCAGACGGAGAAGCCUUGAGCCAGGGCCAGGCGGGUGCAGCCUCGCGGGUGGGGGAGUCCAGGGCUGAGGGCAGCGUGGGCAGGCGUGGGGUCCGUGUGGGCUCCCCGCACCUCUGCAGGGUGACACCGUCAGGCCUUGACCAUUCACCUGUGGCACUCCUGGCCUGGCCUGGCCGGGGGUGGGUCUCUGAGUGGCCAGCCCGGCUUCUGGCCUAGAGAUGGGCACCGCUGUCCUCAGGAAGCGGGCAGGGCCCCUCUCUAGCCGGGAUUCCCCUGUGGUGGGGUCAGCCAAGGUCCGUGACACACAGAAGUGGACGACCUGUUCCCCGCUGGCAAGUGGCAUGUUACCGAAGGGACAGGCAGCCCUGGGUGGGCUCCAGGAAAACCCUGGGGGUCAGGGACUGCAGAGCGGCAUCAGGGAG